AAACACUUAGUUCUAAGUUCUAACUAAGUGUGUCGUCAAGUUCAUCUUCGACGUCAUUCAAGUGCGGAUCCAUCAAAAACUCUUCAUCAUCUUCAUUGACAUUUCUUCUUGCUCUUGUUGAUGGUCCUUCAUGCUCGGGUACACCACUAGCUUCCCAUAAAUUAGCCCAUGUCAAACCACCAUCUUCGUAGACAAAUUCACCAGAUGC
rnacentral:lncRNA from 1 species